rnacentral:lncRNA from 1 species
AAAAAUAAAGAAAUAAGGUAAGAGAGAUCACACCAGAGAUUACACAUAUUCAAUCUUAAAUCAUACGGUCUAAUCUAGUCCCUAUGAGUUUCCUCUCGAGAUUUUCACAAAACAACAACUUGAACUUUUAUACAACUCAACAUCCUUACACCAACAACUUGAGGUUUAAUACAGGUUCAAGCCAACAACAUUACACUAAAUUUUUUAAAGGUUUAUCUUGC